rnacentral:rRNA from 1 species
GUGAGGAAUUUUCCGCAAUGGGCGAAAGCCUGACGGAGCAAUGCCGCGUGAAGGAUGAAGGCCUAUGGGUUGUAAACUUCUUUUCUCAGAAAAGAAUUAUGACGGUAUCUGAGGAAUAAGCAUCGGCUAACUCUGUGCCAGCAGCCGCGGUAAUACAGAGGAUGCAAGCGUUAUCCGGAAUGAUUGGGCGUAAAGCGUCUGUAGGUUGUUUAAAAAGUAUUCUGUCAAAGAUUAGGGCUUAACCCUAGAUAGGCAGAAUAAACUUUUAAGCUAGAGUUUGGUAGAGGCAGAGGGAAUUCCCGGUGGAGCGGUGAAAUGCGUAGAUAUCGGGAGGAACACCAAAGGCGAAGGCACUCUGCUGGGCCAAUACUAACACUGAGAGACGAAAGCGAGGGGAGCAAAUGGGAUUAGAUACCCUGGUAGUCC